CAGAAAACCCCCUGUCAAAACCCAAUUUUUUACAUUUUUUUUUCUGUCAUUUAAAAACCUACACUUUGCCCCUUUGUAAAAUGAAAAAUAUUCACUUCACCCCCUAUUGUUAGUAAUCCGUUAGGGUUCCGUCAUAAAAUAUUUUUUAUACCAAAAAUACCCUCCGCCCUCUCUACUGUUGCUUCGCCCUCCACCAUCUUGCCGCCUCGUCGCCUCGCCCUCCUUCACUGCCUCGCCCUCGCUCAUAUCUCUGUCGGCGCCUACAAUCACCCCCUCGUCUUCCUCCGCCGCCUCGCCUUCGCCCUCGUAGCCCUUGCCCACCUUUUCAUCCACGCCCACCUCGAUUUCCUCCCUACUGUCGUCGAAAUGGAAGGGUGACGAGGGUGUAGGAGGAGAAAGGAAACAGGUGGAGAAGAAAAUUGAGAGGAACCGAGCCGAUUGAGGCGCGAACCGCGGCCAAUCGAGGCGGCGGAUGAGCAAGGUGAGGGAGAAGACGAAAAU
rnacentral:lncRNA from 1 species